rnacentral:tRNA from 1 species
GCCGGCAUAGCUCAGUCGGUAGAGCAGCUGUUUUGUAAACAGCGGGUCGGGGGUUCGAUUCCUCUUGCCGGCUCCA